rnacentral:rRNA from 1 species
GAUGAACGCUGGCGGCGUGCCUAAUACAUGCAAGUCGAGCGAACAGACGAGGAGCUUGCUCCUCUGACGUUAGCGGCGGACGGGUGAGUAACACGUGGAUAACCUACCUAUAAGACUGGGAUAACUUCGGGAAACCGGAGCUAAUACCGGAUAAUAUAUUGAACCGCAUGGUUCAAUAGUGAAAGACGGUUUUGCUGUCACUUAUAGAUGGAUCCGCGCCGCAUUAGCUAGUUGGUAAGGUAACGGCUUACCAAGGCAACGAUGCGUAGCCGACCUGAGAGGGUGAUCGGCCACACAGGAACUGAGACAGGGUCCAGACUCCUACGGGAGGCAGCAGUAGGGAAUCUUCCGCAAUGGGCGAAAGCCUGACGGAGCAACGCCGCGUGAGUGAUGAAGGUCUUCGGAUCGUAAAACUCUGUUAUUAGGGAAGAACAAAUGUGUAAGUAACUAUGCACGUCUUGACGGUACCUAAUCAGAAAGCCACGGCUAACUACGUG